rnacentral:rRNA from 1 species
CCGUACACAAAAGCGCAUGUGCUGUGAGCUCGAUGAGUAGGGCGGGACACGUGGUAUCCUGUCUGAAUAUGGGGGGACCAUCCUCCAAGGCUAAAUACUCCUGACUGACCGAUAGUGAACCAGUACCGUGAGGGAAAGGCGAAAAGAACCCCGGCGAGGGGAGUGAAAAAGAACCUGAAACCGUGUACGUACAAGCAGUGGGAGCACAGGUUUACCUGUGUGACUGCGUACCUUUUGUAUAAUGGGUCAGCGACUUAUAUUCUGUAGCAAGGUUAACCGUAUAGGGGAGCCGUAGGGAAACCGAGUCUUAACCGGGCGUUAAGUUGCAGGGUAUAGACCCGAAACCCGGUGAUCUAGCCAUGGGCAGGUUGAAGGUUGGGUAACACUAACUGGAGGACCGAACCGACUAAUGUUGAAAAAUUAGCGGAUGACCUGUGGCUGGGGGUGAAAGGCCAAUCAAACCGGGAGAUAGCUGGUUCUCCCCGAAAGCUAUUUAGGUAGCGCCUCGUGAAUUCAUCUCCGGGGGUAGAGCACUGUUUCGGCUAGGGGGCCAUCCCGGCUUACCAACCCGAUGCAAACUGCGAAUACCGGAGAAUGUUAUCACGGGAGACACACGGCGGGUGCUAACGUCCGUCGUGAAGAGGGAAACAACCCAGACCGCCAGCUAAGGUCCCAAAGUCAUGGUUAAGUGGGAAACGAUGUGGGAAGGCCCAGACAGCCAGGAUGUUGGCUUAGAAGCAGCCAUCAUUUAAAGAAAGCGUAAUAGCUCACUGGUCGAGUCGGCCUGCGCGGAAGAUGUAACGGGGCUAAACCAUGCACCGAAGCUGCGGCAGCGAACGUAUCACCCAAGACAACUUUACGGAGUUGACGAUUGACGGAGCGAAGCGACGUCAAAGCGUUCAUUAAAGUCGAGUUGGCUUAGGGAUACGUUCGUUGGGUAGGGGAGCGUUCUGUAAGCCUGUGAAGGUGUGUCGUGAGGCAUGCUGGAGGUAUCAGAAGUGCGAAUGCUGACAUAAGUAACGAUAAAGCGGGUGAAAAGCCCGCUCGCCGGAAGACCAAGGGUUCCUGUCCAACGUUAAUCGGGGCAGGGUGAGUCGACCCCUAAGGCGAGGCCGAAAGGCGUAGUCGAUGGGAAACGGGUUAAUAUUCCCGUACUUGGUGUUACUGCGAAGGGGGGACGGAGAAGGCUAUGUUGGCCGGGCGACGGUUGUCCCGGUUUAAGCGUGUAGGUGUGUGUUCCAGGUAAAUCCGGUUCACUUUAACACUGAGGCGUGACGACGAGGCACUACGGUGCUGAAGCAACAAAUGCCCUGCUUCCAGGAAAAGCCUCUAAGCAUCAGGUAACACGAAAUCGUACCCCAAACCGACACAGGUGGUCAGGUAGAGAAUACCAAGGCGCUUGAGAGAACUCGGGUGAAGGAACUAGGCAAAAUGGUGCCGUAACUUCGGGAGAAGGCACGCUGACACGUAGGUGAAGUGAUUUACUCAUGGAGCUGAAGUCAGUCGAAGAUACCAGCUGGCUGCAACUGUUUAUUAAAAACACAGCACUGUGCAAACACGAAAGUGGACGUAUACGGUGUGACGCCUGCCCGGUGCCGGAAGGUUAAUUGAUGGGGUCAGCGCAAGCGAAGCUCCUGAUCGAAGCCCCGGUAAACGGCGGCCGUAACUAUAACGGUCCUAAGGUAGCGAAAUUCCUUGUCGGGUAAGUUCCGACCUGCACGAAUGGCGUAAUGAUGGCCAGGCUGUCUCCACCCGAGACUCAGUGAAAUUGAACUCGCUGUGAAGAUGCAGUGUACCCGCGGCAAGACGGAAAGACCCCGUGAACCUUUACUAUAGCUUGACACUGAACAUUGAGCCUUGAUGUGUAGGAUAGGUGGGAGGCUUUGAAGUGUGGACGCCAGUCUGCAUGGAGCCGACCUUGAAAUACCACCCUUUAAUGUUUGAUGUUCUAACGUGGACCCGUAAUCCGGGUUGCGGACAGUGUCUGGUGGGUAGUUUGACUGGGGCGGUCUCCUCCUAAAGAGUAACGGAGGAGCACGAAGGUUGGCUAAUCCUGGUCGGACAUCAGGAGGUUAGUGCAAUGGCAUAAGCCAGCUUGACUGCGAGCGUGACGGCGCGAGCAGGUGCGAAAGCAGGUCAUAGUGAUCCGGUGGUUCUGAAUGGAAGGGCCAUCGCUCAACGGAUAAAAGGUACUCCGGGGAUAACAGGCUGAUACCGCCCAAGAGUUCAUAUCGACGGCGGUGUUUGGCACCUCGAUGUCGGCUCAUCACAUCCUGGGGCUGAAGUAGGUCCCAAGGGUAUGGCUGUUCGCCAUUUAAAGUGGUACGCGAGCUGGGUUUAGAACGUCGUGAGACAGUUCGGUCCCUAUCUGCCGUGGGCGCUGGAGAACUGAGGGGGGCUGCUCCUAGUACGAGAGGACCGGAGUGGACGCAUCACUGGUGUUCGGGUUGUCAUGCCAAUGGCACUGCCCGGUAGCUAAAUGCGGAAGAGAUAAGUGCUGAAAGCAUCUAAGCACGAAACUUGCCCCGAGAUGAGUUCUCCCUGAGACUUAGAGUCUCCUGAAGGAACGUUGAAGACGACGACGUUGAUAGGCCGGGUGUGUAAGCGCAGCGAUGCGUUGAGCUAACCGGUACUAAUGAACCGUGAGGCUUAACCUUACAACGCCGAAG